AGAGUUUGAUCCUGGCUCAGAAUCAACGCUGGCGGCGCGCCUAACACAUGCAAGUCGAACGAGAAAGUGGAGCAAUCCAUGAGUAAAGUGGCGUACGGGUGAGUAACACGUGGAUUAUCUGCCCUUUUGUGGGGAAUACCGCUGGGAAACCGGCGACAAUACCGCAUAAGCUCGAGAGAGGAAGGCAGCAAUGCGCAGAAGGAGGAGUCCGCGGUCGAUUAGUUAGUUGGCAGGGUAAAGGCCUACCAAGACUGUGAUCGAUAGCCGGCCUGAGAGGGCACACGGCCACACUGGCACUGAAACACGGGCCAGACUCCUACGGGAGGCAGCAGUGGGGAAUCUUGCACAAUGGGGGAAACCCUGAUGCAGCGACGCCGCGUGAGCGAUGAAGCCCCUCGGGGUGUAAAGCUCUUUCGGCAGGGAAGA
rnacentral:rRNA from 1 species